GAGGGUGUCGCUCAGUGGUAGAACGCACGCUUGGAAAGCAUGAGGUCCUGGGUUCAAUACCCAGUACCUCCG
rfam:Camelus ferus unplaced genomic scaffold scaffold1699, whole genome shotgun sequence.